rnacentral:rRNA from 1 species
AGUCGAGCGGCAGCGCGGGGCAACCUGGCGGCGAGCGGCGAACGGGUGAGUAAUACAUCGGAACGUGCCCAAGUGUGGGGGAUAGCCCGGCGAAAGCCGGAUUAAUACCGCAUACGAUCUAAGGAUGAAAGCGGGGGAUCGCAAGACCUCGCGCACUUGGAGCGGCUGAUGGCAGAUUAGGUAGUUGGUGGGGUAAAGGCCUACCAAGCCUACGAUCUGUAGCUGGUCUGAGAGGACGACCAGCCACACUGGGACUGAGACACGGCCCAGACUCCUACGGGAGGCAGCAGUGGGGAAUUUUGGACAAUGGGCGAAAGCCUGAUCCAGCCAUUCCGCGUGCAGGAUGAAGGCCCUCGGGUUGUAAACUGCUUUUGUACAGAACGAAAAGGCUCUGGUUAAUACCUGGGGCUCAUGACGGUACUGUAAGAAUAAGCACCGGCUAACUACGUGCCAGCAGCCGCGGUAAUACGUAGGGUGCAAGCGUUAAUCGGAAUUACUGGGCGUAAAGCGUGCGCAGGCGGUUUUGUAAGACAGAGGUGAAAUCCCCGGGCUCAACCUGGGAACUGCCUUUGUGACUGCAAGGCUGGAGUACGGCAGAGGGGGAUGGAAUUCCGCGUGUAGCA